rnacentral:rRNA from 1 species
UACGGGGGGGGCAAGCGUUGUUCGGAAUUACUGGGCGUAAAGGGCUCGUAGGCGGCCAACUAAGUCGGAUGUGAAAUCCCCAGGCUUAACCUGGGAACUGCAUCCGAUACUGGAUGGCUUGAAUUCGGGAGAGGGAUGCAGAAUUCCAGGUGUAGCGGUGAAAUGCGUAGAUAUCUGGAGGAACACCGGUGGCGAAGGCGGCAUCCUGGACCAACACUGACGCUGAGGAGCGAAAGCCAGGGGAGCAAACGGG